GACGAAGGUGGCGAGCGUUGUUCGGAAUCACUGGGCAUAAAGCGCACGUAGGCGGCGACGUAAGUCGGGUGUGAAAUCCCUCGGCCCAACCGAGGAACUGCGCCCGAUACUGCGUUGCUUGAGGACCAGAGGGGUGCAUGGAAUUUCCGGUGGAGCGGUGAAAUGCGUUGAUAUCGGAAGGAACUCCGGCGGCGAAAGCGGUGCACUGGCUGGUUUCUGACGCUGAGGUGCGAAAGCCAGGGGAGCAAACGGG
rnacentral:rRNA from 1 species